GUGCUCGCUUCGGCAGUACAUAUACUAAAAUUGGAAUGAUACAGAGAAGAUUAGCAUGGCCCCUGCGCAAGGAUGACACGCAAAAGAAUGGAAUAAAGUUGAAUGAA
ensembl:snRNA U6 U6 spliceosomal RNA